rnacentral:rRNA from 1 species
GUAUAUGAGGUGAUUAAUUGGAGGGCAAAUCAAGUGCCAGCAGCCGCGGUAAUACUUGUUCCAAGAGUGUGUAUGAUGAUUGAUGCAGUUAAAAAGUCCGUAGUUUAUUUUUUAAGAAGCAAUAUGAGGUGUACUGUAUAGUUGGGAGAAAGAUGAAAUGUGACGACCCUGACUGGACGAACAGAAGCGAAAGCUGUACACUUGUAUGUAUUUUUUGAACAAGGACGUAAGCUGGAGGAGCGAAGAUGAUUAGAUACCAUUGUAGUUCCAGCAGUAAACUAUGCCGACGAUGUGAUAUGGAAAUGUUAAUUUGUAUUACAUAAUAGAAAUUUGAGUUUUUUGGCUCUGGGGAUAGUAUGAUCGCAAGAUUGAAAAUUAAAGAAAUUGACGGAGGAAUACCACAAGGAGUGGAUUGUGCGGCUUAAUUUGACUCAACGCGAGGUAACUUACUAAUAUUUUAUUAUUUUGAGAGAACGGUUUUUGUUUGAGAAUGAUAAUAGUGGUGCAUGGCCGUUUUCAAUGGAUGCUGUGAAGUUUUGAUUAAUUUCAACAAGACGUGAGACCCUUAUUUUUUAUUAAAGACAGACACAAUCAGUGUAGGAAGGAAAGGAUUAAAACAGGUCCGUUAUGCCCUCUGACAUUUUGGGCUGCACGCGCAAUACAAUAGAUAUA